rnacentral:rRNA from 1 species
UACGGAGGGUGCAAGCGUUAAUCGGAAUUACUGGGCGUAAAGCGUGCGCAGGCGGCUAUGCAAGACAGAUGUGAAAUCCCCGGGCUCAACCUGGGAACUGCAUUUGUGACUGCAUGGCUAGAGUACGGUAGAGGGGGAUGGAAUUCCGCGUGUAGCAGUGAAAUGCGUAGAUAUGCGGAGGAGCACCGAUGGCGAAGGCAAUCCCCUGGACCUGUACUGACGCUCAUGCACGAAAGCGUGGGGAGCAAACAGG